rnacentral:rRNA from 1 species
UACGGGGGGGGCAAGCGUUGUUCGGAAUUACUGGGCGUAAAGGGCUCGUAGGCGGCCAACUAAGUCAUACGUGAAAUCCCUCGGCUUAACCGGGGAACUGCGUCUGAUACUGGAUGGCUUGAGUUCGGGAGAGGGAUGCGGAAUUCCAGGUGUAGCGGUGAAAUGCGUAGAUAUCUGGAGGAACACCGGUGGCGAAGGCAGCUCUCUGGGACGGUACUGACGCUGAGGAGCGAAAGCGUGGGUAGCAAACAGG